rnacentral:tRNA from 1 species
GGGCCUGUGGCUCAGUGGUAGAGCGCACGACUGAUAAUCGUGAGGUCGGGAGUUCGAUCCUCCCCAGGCCCA